GAUUAUGGCUCAGGAUGAACGCUGGCGGCGUGCUUAACACAUGCAAGUCGAACGGAGUUUUUAACGGAAGUUUCGGAUGGAAGUUUAAGAACUAGUGGCGGACGGGUGAGUAACGCGUGGGUAACCUGCCUCAUACAGGGGGAUAACAGUUAGAAAUGACUGCUAACACCGCAUAAUAUAGUGAAACCGCAUGAUUUUUGCUAUCAAAUAUUUAUAGGUAUGAGAUGGGCCCGCGUCUGAUUAGCUAGUUGGUGGGGUAAAAGCCUACCAAGGCGACGAUCAGUAGCCGGCUUGAGAGAGUGACCGGCCACAUUGGGACUGAGACACGGCCCAAACUCCUACGGGAGGCAGCAGUGGGGAAUAUUGGACAAUGGGGGAAACCCUGAUCCAGCCGACGCCGCGUGAGUGAAGAAGUAUUUCGGUAUGUAAAGCUCUAUCAGCAGGGAAGAUAAUGACAGUACCUGACUAAGAAGCCCCGGCUAACUACGUGCCAGCCGCGGC
rnacentral:rRNA from 1 species